rnacentral:rRNA from 1 species
UACGUAGGUGACCAGCGUUGUCCGGAUUUACUGGGCGUAAAGGGCGCGUAGGCGGCCUGUUAAGUCGAACGUGAAAUCCCCGGGCUCAACCCGGGAACUGCGUCCGAUACUGGCAGGCUUGAAUCCGGGAGAGGGAUGUGGAAUUCCAGGUGUAGCGGUGAAAUGCGUAGAUAUCAGGAGGAACACCGAUUGCGAAGGCAGCUUGCUGGGACGGUACUGACGCUGAGGCGCGAAAGCGUGGGGAGCAAACAGG